UUGAACGCUGGCGGCAUGCCUUACACAUGCAAGUCGAACGGUAGAGGAGCAAUCCUCGAGAGUGGCGAACGGGUGAGUAAUGUAUCGGAACGUGCCCAGUAGUGGGGGAUAGCCCGGCGAAAGCCGGAUUAAUACCGCAUGAUACCUGAGGGUGAAAGCGGGGGACUCGCAAGAGCCUCGCGCUCCUGGAGCGGCCGAUAUCAGAUUAGGUAGUUGGUGGGGUAAAAGCCUACCAAGCCUGCGAUCUGUAGCUGGUCUGAGAGGACGACCAGCCACACGGGGACUGAGACACGGUCCAGACUCCUACGGGAGGCAGCAGUGGGGAAUUUUGGACAAUGGGCGCAAGCCUGAUCCAGCAAUGCCGCGUGCAGGAUGAAGGCCUUCGGGUUGUAAACUGCUUUUGUACGGAGCGAAACGGCUCUUUCUAAUAAAGAGGGCUAAUGACGGUACCGUAAGAAUAAGCACCGGCUAACUACGU
rnacentral:rRNA from 1 species